UACGUAGGGACCAAGGGUUGUUCGGAUUUACUGGGCGUAAAGGGCGCGUAGGCGGCGUGGUAAGUCACUUGUGAAAUCUCUGAGCUUAACUCAGAACGGCCAAGUGAUACUGCUGUGCUAGAGUGCAGAAGGGGCAAUCGGAAUUCUUGGUGUAGCGGUGAAAUGCGUAGAUAUCAAGAGGAACACCUGAGGUGAAGACGGGUUGCUGGGCUGACACUGACGCUGAGGCGCGAAAGCCAGGGGAGCAAACGGG
rnacentral:rRNA from 1 species